rnacentral:rRNA from 1 species
AAUGAACGUUGGCGGCGUGGAUUAGGCAUGCAAGUCGUGCGGAAAGGCUCCUUCGGGAGUACUCGAGCGGCGUAAGGGAGAGUAACGCGUGGAUAUCUACCCCCUGGACUGGGAUAGCGGCGGGAAACUGCCGGUAAUACCAGAUAAUGUCUGCGGACCAAAGGUGUGAUUCCGCCGGGGGAUGAGUUCGCGUCCUAUUAGCUAGUUGGUAGGGUAAUGGCCUACCAAGGCAAAGAUGGGUACCGGGUGUGAGAGCAUGGCCCGGCUCACUGGGACUGAGACACUGACCAGACACCUACGGGUGGCUGCAGUCGAGAAUCUUCGGCAAUGGGCGCAAGCCUGACCGAGCGACGCCGCGUGCGGGAUGAAGGCCUUCGGGUUGUAAACCGCUGUCAGAGGGGAGGAAAUGCGUGAGAGUUCUCUCUCACGUUUGACCUAUCCUCAGAGGAAGUACGGGCUAAGUUCGUGCCAGCCGCCGCGGUAAAAC